GGUUAAGUGAAUAAGGGCGCACGGUGGAUGCCUUGGCACUAGGAGCCGAUGAAGGACGGGACUAACACCGAUAUGCUUUGGGGAGCUGUAAGUAAGCUAUGAUCCAGAGAUUUCCGAAUGGGGGAACCCAAUAUCUUUUAUAGGAUAUUACUUUUCAGUGAAUACAUAGCUGAUUAGAGGUAGACGCAGAGAACUGAAACAUCUUAGUACCUGCAGGAAGAGAAAGAAAAUUCGAUUCCCUGAGUAGCGGCGAGCGAAACGGGAAGAGCCCAAACCAACAAGCUUGCUUGUUGGGGUUGUAGGACUCCAAUAUGGUAGUCUGUUAGUAUAGUUGAAGGAUUUGGAAAAUUCCGCUAAAGAGGGUGAAAGCCCCGUAGACGAAAUGCUGACAACACCUAGGAGGAUCCUGAGUACGGCGGAACACGAGAAAUUCCGUCGGAAUCCGCGGGGACCAUCCCGCAAGGCUAAAUACUCCCUAGUGACCGAUAGUGAACCAGUACCGUGAGGGAAAGGUGAAAAGCACCCCGGAAGGGGAGUGAAAUAGAUCCUGAAACCGUGUGCCUACAACAAGUCAAAGCUCGUUAAUGAGUGAUGGCGUGCCUUUUGUAGAAUGAACCGGCGAGUUACGAUUGCAUGCGAGGUUAAGUCGAAGAGACGGAGCCGCAGCGAAAGCGAGUCUGAAUAGGGCGAAUGAGUAUGUAGUCGUAGACCCGAAACCAUGUGAUCUACCCAUGUCCAGGUUGAAGGUGCGGUAAAACGCACUGGAGGACCGAACCCACGUACGUUGAAAAGUGCGGGGAUGAGGUGUGGGUAGCGGAGAAAUUCCAA
rnacentral:rRNA from 1 species